rnacentral:rRNA from 1 species
ACGCUGAAGCCCAGCUUGCUGGGUGGAUGAGUGGCGAACGGGUGAGUAACACGUGAGUAACCUGCCCUCUUCUUUGGGAUAACGCCCGGAAACGGGUGCUAAUACUGGAUAUUCACUGAUCUUCGCAUGGGGGUUGGUGGAAAGGUUUUUUCUGGUGGGGGAUGGGCUCGCGGCCUAUCAGCUUGUUGGUGGGGUGAUGGCCUACCAAGGCUUUGACGGGUAGCCGGCCUGAGAGGGUGACCGGUCACAUUGGGACUGAGAUACGGCCCAGACUCCUACGGGAGGCAGCAGUGGGGAAUAUUGCACAAUGGGCGAAAGCCUGAUGCAGCGACGCCGCGUGAGGGAUGGAGGCCUUCGGGUUGUAAACCUCUUUCGCUCAUGGUCAAGCCGCAACUUAGGGUUGUGGUGAGGGUAGUGGGUAAAGAAGCGCCGGCUAACUACGUGCCAGCAGCCGCGGUAAUACGUAGGGCGCGAGCGUUGUCCGGAAUUAUUGGGCGUAAAGGGCUUGUAGGCGGUUGGUCGCGUCUGCCGUGAAAUCCUCUGGCUUAACUGGGGGCGUGCGGUGGGUACGGGCUGACUUGAGUGCGGUAGGGGAGACUGGAACUCCUGGUGUAGCGGUGGAAUGCGCAGAUAUCAGGAAGAACACCGGUGGCGAAGGCGGGUCUCUGGGCCGUUACUGACG